rnacentral:rRNA from 1 species
CUCAACCGGGGAAUUGCAGGGCGAACCGCAGGUCUUGAGGAAGGCAGAGGCGGGUGGAACCAUAGGUGGAGCGGUGGAAUGCGUAGAGAUCUAUGGGAACGCCGAAGGUGAAGACAGCCCGCUGGGCCUUUCCUGACGCUCAGGCACGAAAGCGUGGGGAGCAAACAGGAUUAGAUACCCUGGUAGUCCACGCCCUAAACGAUGUGCACUAGACCGUGGCGGUUUUGACGCCGUCAUGGUCGGAGAGAAAUUGUUAAGUGCACCGCCUGGGGAGUACGGUCGCAAGGCUAAAACUCAAAGGAAUUGACGGGGGCUCACACAAGCGGUGGAGCAUGUUGCUUAAUUCGAAGCAACGCGAAGAACCUUACCAGGGUUUGACAUGCACGGAUUAGCCAUUAGAAAUAGUGGUGACGCCCUUUGGGUGGAACG